rnacentral:rRNA from 1 species
GAUGAACGCUGGCGGCGUGCCUAAUACAUGCAAGUCGAACGCAUUGUGGUUGAAAUGAUAUGAAGAACUUGUUCAGAUUUGAUUUUCAACAUUGCAAUGAGUGGCGAACGGGUGAGUAACACGUGGGAAACCUACCUCUUAGCAGGGGAUAACAUUUGGAAACAAAUGCUAAUACCGUAUAAUAAUUAAAACCGCAUGGUUUUAGUUAAAAGAUGGUCUUGCUAUCACUAAGAGAUGGUCCCGCGGUGUAUUAGUUAGUUGGUGAGGUAAUGGGCUCACCAAGACAAUGAUACAUAGCCGAGUUGAGAGACUGACCGGCACAUGGGACUGAGACACGGCCCAUACUCCUACGGGAGGCAGCAGUAGGGAUCUCACAAUGGCGAAAGUCUGAUGGAGCAACGCGC